rnacentral:rRNA from 1 species
CACCUGGAAACAGAUGCUAAUACCGCAUAACAACUUGGACCGCAUGGUCCGAGUUUGAAAGAUGGCUUCGGCUAUCACUUUUGGAUGGUCCCGCGGCGUAUUAGCUAGAUGGUGGGGUAACGGCUCACCAUGGCAAUGAUACGUAGCCGACCUGAGAGGGUAAUCGGCCACAUUGGGACUGAGACACGGCCCAAACUCCUACGGGAGGCAGCAGUAGGGAAUCUUCCACAAUGGACGAAAGUCUGAUGGAGCAACGCCGCGUGAGUGAAGAAGGGUUUCGGCUCGUAAAACUCUGUUGUUAAAGAAGAACAUAUCUGAGAGUAACUGUUCAGGUAUUGACGGUAUUUAACCAGAAAGCCACGGCUAACUACGUGCCAGCAGCCGCGGUAAUACGUAGGUGGCAAGCGUUGUCCGGAUUUAUUGGGCGUAAAGCGAGCGCAGGCGGUUUUUUAAGUCUGAUGUGAAAGCCUUCGGCUCAACCGAAGAAGUGCAUCGGAAACUGGGAAACUUGAGUGCAGAAGAGGACAGUGGAACUCCAUGUGUAGCGGUGAAAUGCGUAGAUAUAUGGAAGAACACCAGUGGCGAAGGCGGCUGUCUGGUCUGUAACUGACGCUGAGGCUCGAAAGUAUGGGUAGCAAACAGGAUUAGAUACCCUGGUAGUCCAUACCGUAAACGAUGAAUGCUAAGUGUUGGAGGGUUUCCGCCCUUCAGUGCUGCAGCUAACGCAUUAAGCAUUCCGCCUGGGGAGUACGGCCGCAAGGCUGAAACUCAAAGGAAUUGACGGGGGCCCGCACAAGCGGUGGAGCAUGUGGUUUAAUUCGAAGCUACGCGAAGAACCUUACCAGGUCUUGACAUACUAUGCAAAUCUAAGAGAUUAGACGUUCCCUUCGGGGACAUGGAUACAGGUGGUGCAUGGUUGUCGUCAGCUCGUGUCGUGAGAUGUUGGGUUAAGUCCCGCAACGAGCGCAACCCUUAUUAUCAGUUGCCAGCAUUAAGUUGGGCACUCUGGUGAGACUGCCGGUGACAAACCGGAGGAAGGUGGGGAUGACGUCAAAUCAUCAUGCCCCUUAUGACCUGGGCUACACACGUGCUACAAUGGAUGGUACAACGAGUUGCGAAC